rnacentral:rRNA from 1 species
UACGGAGGGGGCAAGCGUUGUUCGGAAUUACUGGGCGUAAAGGGCGCGUAGGCGGCCUGUUAAGUCGAACGUGAAAUCCCCGGGCUCAACCCGGGAACUGCGUCCGAUACUGGCAGGCUUGAAUUCGGGAGAGGGAUGCGGAAUUCCAGGUGUAGCGGUGAAAUGCGUAGAUAUCUGGAGGAACACCGGUGGCGAAGGCGGCAUCCUGGACCGGCAUUGACGCUGAGGAGCGAAAGCCAGGGGAGCAAACGGG